GGAUAACCUGCCCUUGGGUCCGGCAUAACCCCGGGAAACUGGGGAUAAUUCCGGAUAACGCAUAUAUGCUGGAAUGCUUUAUGCGUAAAAUGGAUUCGUCUGCCCAAGGAUGGGUCUGCGGCCUAUCAGGUAGUAGUGGGUGUAAUGUACCUACUAGCCUACGACGGGUACGGGUUGUGAGAGCAAGAGCCCGGAGAUGGAUUCUGAGACAUGAAUCCAGGCCCUACGGGGCGCAGCAGGCGCGAAAACUUUACAAUGCGGGAAACCGUGAUAAGGGGACACCGAGUGCCAGCGUCAUACGCUGGCUGUCCGGGUGUGUAAAAUACACCUGUUAGCAAGGGCCGGGCAAGACCGGUGCCAGCCGCCGCGGUAACACCGGCGGCCCGAGUGGUGAUCGUGAUUAUUGGGUCUAAAGGGUCCGUAGCCGGUUUGGUCAGUCCUCCGGGAAAUCUGACAGCUUAACUGUUAGGCUUUCGGAGGAUACUGCCAGACUUGGAACCGGGAGAGGUAAGAGGUACUACAGGGGUAGGAGUGAAAUCUUGUAAUCCCUGUGGGACCACCUGUGGCGAAGGCGUCUUACCAGAACGGGUUCGACGGUGAGGGACGAAAGCUGGGGGCACGAACCGGAUUAGAUACCCGGGUAGUCCCAGCCGUAAACGAUGCUCGCUAGGUGUCAGGCAUGGCGCGACCGUGUCUGGUGCCGCAGGGAAGCCGUGAAGCGAGCCACCUGGGAAGUACGGCCGCAAGGCUGAAACU
rnacentral:rRNA from 1 species